GCGUCUGUGGUCCAACGGUUUAGCCAUGCUCCCGGCAAGACUAGGAUCUGGGUUCGAAUCCCGGCUGACGCA